rnacentral:rRNA from 1 species
UACGGAGGGUGCGAGCGUUAAUCGGAAUUACUGGGCGUAAAGGGUGCGUAGGUGGUUGUAUAAGUUAUCUGUAAAAUCCCUGGGCUUAACCUGGGCAGGUCAGAUAAGACUGUACGACUCGAGUAUGGGAGAGGGUAGUGGAAUUUCCGGUGUAGCGGUGAAAUGCGUAGAGAUCGGAAGGAACACCAGUGGCGAAGGCGGCUACCUGGCCUAAUACUGACACUGAGGCACGAAAGCGUGGGGAGCAAACAGG